CGCGGAUUGGUGAAACGGUAUCAUCGCUGACUCAUGAUUAGCAGUCCUGGGUUCGACUCCUAGAUCCGCAUGA